AAUUAUGCUUUUUAACAAAUGGUGUUUAUGGCAACCCCUAACAGUGCAAAAGAAAGGAUUAGUUUCAUCCUCUCAUUCCACAUUUUGAUUCCCUGUGGACAGUUAAAUCACACAAAGAUGGUGUUAGAAAAAUCUACCUUCACAGCAAAAGCUGGAAUUAGCGGCCACCAGGCUUUUGGAGCGCAGUCAGGCCCGCGAGCAAAAGGGUAGUCACGCCAGCGGAGACACGUGGAUCAGUCAGGGCUCCCAGCUGCAAAGGACAUAAACCAAUUCUGGCUGAGUAAGCAGAAAAGUUUAAAAGGAGAUGGACAAACUCAAGAGAAUCUCUGGGAGGUUGGAGGGACAGAGAGAGAGAGAGAAGAGAGAGAGAAAGACAGAGAGCGCAC